UGAGUUUUAUGAGAUCAAUAUAAUUUCAGCAUUGUGCUACCAAGUUCAAUUCUUGUCAACCUUGUGUUGUGGUGAAUUACCUUCAAGACUUAUCACUUACCUUUGCUUGGGAGUGUGCUGUCUACCUUGUUCUUGUCUUCUUAUGGGGUGUCAACUUAUCAAGGAGCCUAAAUCAAGUCUAUCUUUUGUUCUUAUUUUCUGUGGCGUGUUACUUAUCAAAGGAGCAAGU
rnacentral:misc_RNA from 1 species